UGGUGAUGUCACUGCUGAGAUGUUUGCUGUUGUUCUACUUCUCAUUCAAGGAAUUGACCACAGCAGCAGGAACCAAAGAUGACUUCAGCUACCAGCUUGCUGUUUCUUGCAAUCCAUUUUGCAUGUAUCAGAGCUGGAAAUUCCUCUGAGACUUUUGUCAAACUGGAGUGUAAAGAAGAAUACCAUGGGGUUCAUGAUCAGCAGUCACUGCUGUAGUGUAAUGUCAAAACUGUUCAGAACACGACCAUCUUGACAGUGACCUGGAAGAGAGUGGGAGGUGAUGCAUCUUUGUUGGAAUACCAUAAAGAAGAAAAUAACUCAACACUUGGAUUUAAAUUUGCUGUGCCAUCCUGGAACAAGAAGAAUAUGAAUGUGUCCUUGUUGUUGACAAAUACCAAGAUGGCCGACAAGGGGGAGUAUGAAUGCAUGGUGGAAACAGACAGUGGUGAUGCCACAGCUACAACCAG